rnacentral:rRNA from 1 species
GUACGGACCUCAGAUCAGGCAAGGCUACCCGCUGAGUUUAA